GGGACAUUAGCUCAGUUGGUUCAGAGCGCAUGCGGUCACUGGUUCGAAUCCAGUAUGUCCCA
rnacentral:tRNA from 1 species